CUACGGGGCGCUCCAGUGAGGAAUAUUGCACAAUGGGGGGAACCCUGAUGCAGCAACGCCGCGUGGAGGAUGACGCAUUUCGGUGUGUAAACUCCUUUUAUAUGUCAAGAAAAUGACGGUAGCAUAUGAAUAAGCACCGGCUAACUCCGUGCCAGCAGCCGCGGUAAUACGGAGGGUGCAAGCGUUACCCGGAAUCACUGGGCGUAAAGGACGCGUAGGCGGGCUUGUAAGUCAGGUGUGAAAUCCUACAGCUUAACUGUAGAACUGCACUUGAAACUACGAGCCUAGAGUAUGGGAGGGGGAGAUGGGAUUAGUGGUGUAGGGGUAAAAUCCGUAGAUAUCACUAGGAAUACCUAAAGCGAAGGCGAUCUCCUGGAACAUAACUGACGCUAAGGCGUGAAAGCGUGGGGAGCAAACAGGAUUAGAUACCCGCGUAGUC
rnacentral:rRNA from 1 species